UAUGUCUACCCUGCUGCAUGUUCCCUGUGUUCCUGUGCUCCAGUGAGUAUGUUCUGAAGUGGAGUGGCUGCAUGAUCUGACUAUAACCACAUGGGGAAAGAGGCAAAACUGUCCAGGCCCCAGCAGAGAACUCACGUGAAGGGCAGAUGGAAGGCUUGGAUAGCUGUCCGAUAAAAUCAACUGCUUACCUGCUGUUGAAAACUGAGAGUAGAGCGGUCAAUAACAUUCCUUUUCUGCUACACAA